UACGGAGGAUCCAAGCGUUAUCCGGAAUCAUUGGGUUUAAAGGGUCCGUAGGUGGAUUAGUAAGUCAGAGGUGAAAUCCUGCAGCUCAACUGUAGAACUGCCUUUGAUACUGCUAGUCUUGAGUCAUUAUGAAGUGGUUAGAAUGUGUAGUGUAGCGGUGAAAUGCAUAGAUAUUACACAGAAUACCGAUUGCGAAGGCAGAUCACUAAUAAUGUACUGACACUGAUGGACGAAAGCGUGGGGAGCGAACAGG
rnacentral:rRNA from 1 species